UCACGCAUCUUGUUUUCUUCUUUUAUUUUUGUGGUGAAUUCAUUAGAUCAGAAGGCAGGAUGCGUGUUUA
rnacentral:antisense_RNA from 1 species